rnacentral:lncRNA from 1 species
CAGAGUCUCUGGUAGCAGAAGCAGAGCAAGAUGAAAAGAUAGUAGCUAUUCAUGCUGCCAUGGGAGGUGGUACCGGUCUCAAUAUAUUCCAGAAACGCUUUCCUGAACGAUGUUUUGAUGUUGGGAUCGCAGAGCAGCAUGCUGUUACUUUUGCUGCUGGUUUAGCUACAGAAGGGCUCAAGCCCUUUUGUGCUAUCUACUCAUCUUUCCUGCAGAGGGGUUACGAUCAGGUAAAAUGGCCUAACCUCAUUACUAGUUGCUAAAAUGGAAAAUGUGCACAUUCAAUAGAAAUUCUAAUACUGGAGAUUGUGCAGGUGGUUCACGAUGUAGACCUUCAAAAACUUCCUGU